GACGAACGCUGGCGGCGUGCUUAACACAUGCAAGUCGAACGAUGAAGCCGGAGCUUGCUCUGGUGAAUUAGUGGCGAACGGGUGAGUAACACGUGAGUAACCUGCUCUUGACUCUGGGAUAACUGCGGGAAACUGUAGCUAAUACCGGAUACGACCCUCGGAGGCAUCUCCUGGGGGUGGAAAGAAUUUCGGUCAAGGAUGGACUCGCGGCCUCUCAGCUAGUUGGUGAGGUAAAGGCUCACCAAGGCGACGACGGGUAGCCGGACUGAGAGGGUAGCCGGCCACACUGGGACUGAGAAGCGGCCCGGACUCCUACGGGAGGCAGCAGUGGGGAAUAUUGCACAAUGGGCGCAAGCCUGAUGCAGCAACGCCGCGUGAGGGAUGACGGCCUUCGGGUUGUAAACCUCUUUUAGCAGGGAAGAAGCGAAAGUGACGGUACCUGCAGAAAAAGCACCGGCUAACUACGUGCCAGCCGCCGCAGUAAAAC
rnacentral:rRNA from 1 species